rnacentral:lncRNA from 1 species
UUGGGAUAUAUAUAUAUAUAUAUAUAUAUAUAUAGAGUCCGAUUAUUAUACUCUUAUAAGGACGAUCGUGCUCGUAUUCAUAAGUUGUUUUCGAUAAUAGAGCUUUCGAAUCGACGAUUCACACUGUUAAAUAUUAUCUAGAGCAUUUAAAAUAUAUAGAAAUCAAAUUUUAUAAUUUUUCGACAUCAUUUACCUUACGAUCAAAAAGUUACAAAAUUGACAAUUUUUAACGACCGGUAUAAGAUAUUUGCUAGUUUAAUGAUGCAAAAAAAUUAAAAUCGGUUGAAUUUUUGAUAGAAAAUUCUAUUAACUACAUAGAUAAAAAUAAAUAACUUCGAUUUUGACCGUUUAUUUUAUACCUGUUUGAUGAACUUUAUUAUGAUUUUGAAAACUUACGAAAUUUAUUUUCUAGAAGUUUCAAAUACUUUAAAUCAUAUUUAACGAAGUGGAUCAUUGAUUCGGAAACUCCAUCAUUGAAAACAACUUAUGAGUAUGAAGAGCUCUAUACUCAUAAGAAUAUAGUAGCCCUAGCAUAUACAGAUAUAUAUAUAGUAGGUUUUGUAUGCAUGCUAUUAGGAGCACGGAGGUUUUUCCGUGAUCCUAAGCCUUUUGGAUGAUGGAGUUUUUGAAUCGACUAUCGGCUUCGUUAGACUUGAUCUAGCGUAUUUGAAAUAUCUAGAAAAUAAAUUUUGCGAUUUUUCGAUAUCAUUUACCUAGCGAUCAAAAGAUCAAAAUCAACAAAUUUUUAUGAUUGAUGUAUAUCGUUUGCAAGUUUAAUGGUAUAGAAGUAUUCAAAUCAGAUAAAUUGUGAUAACAAAAAAUUUAUACUAUUUACAUCAAGAUCAAUAUCUCUAAUCGAAUUUAAUACUAUAUCACCACUACUUUUUAUAAGAUUUUUAUUUUCAGCCGUUUAUUUUGAACCUCUCGAUUACUAGGUAAAUAAUAUCAAAAAAUUAUAAAAUUUAUUUUUUAAAUAUUUGAAAUAUGCUAGAUCAAAUCUAAUGUAGCUUAUCAUCGAUUCGAAAACUUCAUCAUAAA